UAGGGAAUCUUCGGCAAUGGACGAAAGUCUGACCGAGCCACGCCGCGUGAGUGAAGAAGGUUUUCGGAUCGUAAAACUCUGUUGUUAGAGAAGAACAAGGACGUUAGUAACUGAACGUCCCCUGACGGUAUCUAACCAGAAAGCCACGGCUAACUACGUGCCAGCAGCCGCGGUAAUACGUAGGUGGCAAGCGUUGUCCGGAUUUAUUGGGCGUAAAGCGAGCGCAGGCGGUUUCUUAAGUCUGAUGUGAAAGCCCCCGGCUCAACCGGGGAGGGUCAUUGGAAACUGGGAGACUUGAGUGCAGAAGAGGGGAGUGGAAUUCCAUGUGUAGCGGUGAAAUGCGUAGAUAUAUGGAGGAACACCAGUGGCGAAGGCGGCUCUCUGGUCUGUAACUGACGCUGAGGAUCGAAAGCGUGGGGAGCAAACAGG
rnacentral:rRNA from 1 species